GGCUGCCGCCCCUGCAGCCGCGGCCGCCACAGCCGCCGGGAGCUCGAUGGGCUUCUGCGCGCCGUCCGGUAUCUGGCUGAGUCGGGCGAGCCGUGGCGCCUCGUGCCGGGGAGCCAUUGCCGCAGCCCGAAGCCAGGUCCCGAGUGAGGGACUGCAGCAAGAGGCGACGGCGUCGGCCGCGGGAGCCCCCCCGGGGGUCUGGGACUGGCGAACCGCCUCCGGCUUCACGAUGCCAGUAUGGACAGAAUAGCUUAUGAUGCUUAUCCACACCCACCACUUUCGAGACAUUGAGCGCAAGCCGGAAUACCUCCAGCCGGAGAAGUGUGUCCCACCUCCCUACCCUGGUCCUGUGGGAACCAUGUGGUUUAUCCGCGACAGCUGUGGCAUCGCCUGUGCCAUCGUCACCUGGUUUCUGGUCCUCUAUGCAGAGUUUGUGGUCCUCUUUGUCAUGCUGAUUCCAUCCAGAGACUAUGUAUACAGCAUCAUCAAUGGAAUUGUAUUCAACCUGCUGGCCUUCUUGGCCCUGGCCUCCCACUGCCGGGCCAUGCUGACGGACCCCGGGGCAGUGCCCAAAGGAAAUGCCACUAAAGAAUUUAUCGAGAGUUUACAGUUGAAGCCUGGGCAGGUGGUAUACAAGUGUCCCAAAUGCUGCAGCAUCAAGCCCGACAGAGCCCACCACUGCAGUGUUUGUAAGCGGUGCAUUCGCAAGAUGGASCACCACUGCCCUUGGGUCAAUAAUUGUGUCGGCGAGAACAACCAGAAGUACUUCGUCCUGUUUACAAUGUACAUAGCUCUCAUUUCCUUGCACGCCCUCAUCAUGGUGGGAUUCCACUUCCUGCAUUGCUUUGAAGAAGAUUGGACAACUGUCUACCUCAGUUUGUUAAAUCUACUGCAAGACUAUGGAGAGAACAGGGAAGGAACAGCAGAGGCCCAAGUCUAUCUUCAUGAAAGAGAGCAGCCCCCAAAAAUCAGUUUAACAGAGUGCAGCUCCUUCUCACCACCCACCACGGUGAUCCUCCUCAUCCUGCUGUGCUUUGAGGCGCUGCUCUUCCUCAUUUUCACGUCAGUGAUGUUUGGGACCCAAGUGCACUCCAUCUGCACGGAUGAGACGGGAAUAGAACAAUUGAAAAAGGAAGAGAGAAGAUGGGCUAAAAAAACAAAAUGGAUGAACAUGAAAGCAGUUUUKGGCCACCCCUUCUCUCUAGGCUGGGCCAGCCCCUUUGCCACGCCAGAUCAAGGGAAGGCARACCCGUACCAGUAUGUGGUCUGAAGGACCCCUGACCAGCAUUGCCACUCAGACACAAACCACAUCACAGCACUAUCGUCCGAUCUGUUCUCAUGAAUGUUUAGACCGAAAAGCAAAUCAACUACUCUAAAACUUUUUUUAUGUCUCAAGUAAAAUGGCUGAACAUUGCAGAGAAAAAAAAAUCCCCAUGUUUUAUUUUUUAAAAAUCAUCCUUUUUGAUUUUUUGAUGACCGAAGCUGCUCUUCUUUUUCCUUUUAAAAUCACUUCUCUGGCCUCUGGUUUCCUCUCUGCUAUCUGUCUGGCAUGACUAACGUGGAGGGUGCUGUCUCCAGGCCGUGUCCAUUUCUACUAAUUGAGUGAGACAUGAUGCUGUGCGUGGAUGGACUGGCCUGGUAGGAAAGCCAGGAGGGCCCUGGCCUCCCACUGCCCAGGAGGCAGUGGCAGGAGCCCAUGGGACUUAAAACUCACUGAAGAUGGAUAUUUGCCCCUUGAGGCCUGAGAAGGGCAGGAUCAGGGCUGGAGCCUUCAGAAGGGCCGGUGGCUCAGCAGCCUCCUCCCCMAAGUGGACACGGUUUGCCUCCUCAUUCACAAAAUYAGUUAUUCUGCCUWGUACUUUAUGGGYCUGGGGUGUGUAGAAUAAUUUUGGUGGGGAAGGGGAGAGAGUUGAAGGGGUCUAAUUUGUAUUCUAAAUCAGCAGUUUUAUCCCUCUGAUGAUUUCAGAAGAAAAUGAAGGAAAGGAGUUUUUCCAUUUCAAAAUGCCCUGUACAAUCAAAGGGGUGGGGGGCCAUGCAGUUUCAGGCAAGCUACUAUGUUACAACUUUGUCACAACUACUUCCUCCCUGACCGCCCCAUCUCCCUCCCUUCCCUGGCGAGAUAUCAAUUAAGCAGUGUUGAUUCUGGGUGGAACACAUGUGCCCCACCGUCAAGCCCUUCUCAUUUUGUAAAUCUCUAACAUGGGUCCACUUUCUGYUAUUUAAGAGCCAUGGAAUGUGCGUACCCUUGUCUUAUUUUAACCUAGGAGACUGUUGUCCUGGCAUGGGGCUAACCAUGAUCUGGGACAACAUUUUUAAUGUUGACAGAAGAAUGUCCGCUCACUGGACUGAGCAGGGGCACCUGGCCCUGCUGCACUGAGGAAGGCCAGCCUUCCCAUGGGAGGCACUUACUCCACUGGGUCUCAUUUGAAAGAGGUGGUGACAAGCUAGAGGAAGGACCAAGAGUGGUGGGGAGAGGUGAGGAGAUAGGGAGUGCCCUCAGACACAAAAAUAACCAAUCUGAAUCCUGACCAUCUGUGAAUUCCUACACACUGAUUUGUUUUUUAAGCRAUUGUCACAAAUCUCCCUUUUUAGCUUUUGCUUGGGGUGGGGGCGGGGGAUAAGAUUUAUUCAGUCUAGGCCUGGGUAGGGAGAAAGUUAAUCUAGCCAUGUGAUUUUUCAGAAAAGUCAGUGGAACAUGCUCCCUCUUUUAAUUCUGUCAGUGCUUCCACAUGGAAACAAUGCAAUAAAACUUUUCCAAAACCUGCUCUGAUUUAGCUUUCCUCUCUCCCAUGUUACCCACAGAGGAGGGUAGAUCGCCCAUAGCUGCUGAGGUUUCUCUGCUGGAGUGGUGGUUUCAUUGUGCCCUCUCUUGAAUGAAGGUUUUUUACUUAAAGAUUUCUAUUGAAAGGACAUUUAUGGUCCCUCUCAAACAAGCUGCCCCACCAGGCCUGUCUCUUGGCUGGCUGCCGUCUAAUUGCCUGCUUGGUGUUGAUGAGCUCUUCGUGGCUCUAGCAAGUCCUUAAGUCUCUCUGGAGUUUGUGAGCAGAGCCACCCAGCCAAAAGCCAAGUCCAGCCAGAGGAAAACAUUGCAGAACUCUGGUGAGUGCUGUUCUGGUGCAGUUCUUUGAGGAGCUUUGGCCUCAGGUGUCUAGUUGCCAGGUGGGAGACGGCACCCUUGAGCUGUUUAGUCGAGCAACUCUGUGACCCUCCCUAAGGCAGGUAACUUGAACUUGCCUCUACUGUGCUAUUCGUGCCAUAGAAUCAAGCCUCAGUUCUUAAGUGUUUUUUUAAGAAAGCCUGCUUUUAAUCAAGUUCAUAGCAUUUGUUCUCCAUAUACGUUCUUUUUUUUUUUUUUUAACAUUUCAUUUAGGUGCAUGAAAGAAGAGUGGCUGUUAGAUGACUCUUAGCAGUUAAGAAGGAAUGGGUCCCUUGGGAGACAGUGCUGCAGCUCUGGUCCUCCCCCUAGGGGACAGGGACUUUUACUCAGGAAAUAGCUUUUACGUAUUUGGAUGUCCUCAGAAUCCUCCAUCUUCAAGGACAAUUUUAAAGUGACGUGUGUUGCUGCUUUUCCCAUGGAAUUUCAAAGGAAUGCAGUAGAUAGUGCUGCAUUGAAUUUUUUUUUUCUAAAAAUAGAAGCUCAUGAUUUAAACCUGAGUGUACCGAGUUUCUCUCUCUGAGAGGAAGGUUCUUUCAAACAUCCCAACUGAUUGUAUCUCUGGAUUUGUACAAGCCCUUAGACUGGAUAGAGUGACUGUCCCUAGCACUCAAGUCACAAUAAAAUGCUGUACUCAGCUUACUCCUAGGUGGCCUGGAUUUUUCCUAUUUCAUUUUCCUUUAGACAUUUUGUUGAGAGUGCAGUGACUUAGGAAUGUGGUGUCACAGCAUAGGAAGUGGUUCCCAGUCUGGCGUACUCGCAGGGAGAAGGGCCCCCCUGAGCUUUCCUAGUAUUUUCAGAUGAAAUGAAAGAGGACAUCUCUCUUCCCCCAUGGGAAAAUGAACCAGUAUAGCCAGGCUUUUGGAACGUGGGAUCUGAGAAGUGAAAUGAAAAAGACGUGCCGUGUUGGGUUAGGUGAUCCCCAGGUUCCUUUUAUCUGUCAAUGUCAGCCACACAGAACAUACAAAAGGCUGAAGUCCAGACGAGUUGAUGCAUAUUUGCAUGGACAUGGUGGUGACAGCCAACACAAAGUAUGUUUGGGUGGAAAUGCACAUGCCACACCUCCUGUUAGUUAUACCAUUUUGUCUUUGUAAUAACUCCUUGAAAGAGCAAAAAACUACCAGUUUUUGCUCAUUCUGGUCAAGUAUCCACCAACCUGAUCAGAAGUCUUCCAGCUGAAGUGAAGUGAACACUCCUGUGCAAGGCUGCCAUCACACACAGGCUCUUCCCUGGGAGGCUGGGCUCUCCUACCAGGCCAGUGGUUUUGAAGCUUCUCUUAUUUUAAAACUUGCAGCGUACCAGCUAAGAGGUGAGGGGUCCCAACUUAGAAGGAACCCUGCCCCUCCACCUUUUAUGUUUGCAGCUGGGAAUGGAAUCCAGAGCCUCACACAUACUAGGCAAGUGCCCUACCACGGAGCAGCACCCCAUCCCAGAGCCCCUUAAAUAUCAAAGAAACAUGAAGAAAGAUUCUGCUAGAAUUCCUCAAGGCUCUCUGGUAGUCCCUGGCCCAGCAGCAUCAGUGUCGCCUGGGAAGUUGUUGGAGCUGCCCUACCCCAGACCUACCUACUGAACCAGAAUUCUAAAAGUAGGGCCUGGUAGACUGUUUUAACAGCCUCCAAGGAACAAACCACUUGGCUUUUGUUUGUUUGUUUUGGUGGUGCCAGGGGUCAAGCCCAGGGCCUCAAGCAUAUGAUAUCACUAGGGGCUGGAGAGUGGUACUUAGCGUCACCCCUAAUUUAGCAUCACCCUUGAUGCCUGCUGAUGGUGGGCACAAUGUGCGGCCAGGCUCAGUAUAGUGGGCUGUGCCAUCUCUGAGGCCAUAGGUGCUCCCCUGCAGAGAAUCCACUGAGCCCUUCUUCCCUAUGCCCACAUGUGGCACCUGCAACAAAUGAAUGCCAAGAAAGCAAGAAUGGUCUGUUGGAAGCCGCACCCAGUGCUCCUCCUAAGCAUCUCCUCAUUUGAGCUGUCUCGGCCAAGGGCACCUUUGCUGAAGAACCAGCCCAGAAGGGAGCCAGGAAAGAGUGGAACCAAGGGACCCCCAGAUGGGAAUGCCAGCUGGGCAUCGAGCGCCUCAAACGAAAGAAUCAGCCCAGGGAGCACAGGGCCAACUGGAGUUCGGUGAAAGACACCUGUGGCGGGGACUU